rnacentral:misc_RNA from 1 species
ACGCUGAGCUGGGUCUGCGGUCUGCCCGUUGAAGGGGUUGGAUUUGGGAUUUUGGCUUAGGCGGCGACGUCGGUUUUYGUCCGAUAACAACAAGCAGCCGGGUUCUGGGGAUUUUGGAAUGAUUUGCUCGCCUUUGGGCGGGGGAUUUUCUGGAAUUUUUCGGGAAGGCUGCGGCAAACAAGGGCGGUUUUGCGUGUUUUUAGAAGAAGACGCGCUUUCGCUUUGCUUUACGAAACGAGGACGAAGCGGCUCCGUUGUGGGAGGCGGAGCGAUACCGGUCACGCGCAAUUCCCUGGGAGCACAUUGGAGGAGAAGGGUAUGAGCUCAACGACUGACACAGCAGCCCGGGCUGCUGCUGGCACGGAAGCUGUAGUUGACCUGAAGGGCAUGUGGAUCGGCCUGGCCGUUCUGAACGGGUUCUAUCUGGUCGUUCGCAUUUACGAGCAGAUUUAUGGCUGGCGCGCUGGCCUGGACUCGUUUGCGCCGGAGUUCCAGACCUAUUGGAUGUCGAUCCUUUGGACCGAGAUUCCGCUUGAGCUGAUCUCGGGCAUUGGCCUUGCGGGCUUUCUUUGGAAGACGCGCACGCGCGACUUCUCGACUCUGACGGCGCGCGAAGAAAUGCGCCGCCUGGUUGUCGAAGUGCAGUGGCUGGUGGUUUACGCCGCGGCCAUUUACUGGGGCGCGUCGUUCUUCACGGAGCAGGACGGCACCUGGCACAUGACGGUGAUUCGCGACACGGACUUCACGCCGUCGCACAUCAUCGAGUUCUACAUGAGCUACCCGAUCUACUCGGUGAUCGCGGUCGGCGGCUUCUUCUAUGCGAAGACGCGUCUUCCGUAUUUCGCCAAGGGCUAUUCGGUGGCGUAUCUGAUCGUGGCGAUCGGCCCGUUCAUGAUCAUCCCGAACGUCGGCCUGAAUGAGUGGGGCCACACGUUCUGGUUCAUGGAAGAACUGUUCGUCGCGCCGCUGCAUUGGGGCUUCGUGUUCUUCCGCUGGAUGGCGCUCGGCGUGUUCGGCGUCGUGCUUCAGCUGCUGAUCAACAUUCAACGUCUGAUCGGCAAGGAAGGCGUCGCCCUCCUGACCGAGUAAUCCGAGACGUCGCCGCCCGCUUCGCGGCGGGCGGCGUCUGGCUCUGAGCUUUUCGCGAAAAACCAGAGAGCUUUUGCCUGUCGCCUUGGCGCGUGGGUUGGCUUGUUGCGGUCGAGCAGGGUCUUCGGGCGCUGGGGUGAUCGGGAGCGAAGGGCUUAAAGCGAUGCGGUCGGCGGGAUCUCCGCCGUCCGGGCGCCGGCGGCGGGAAGGCCUGCCGGAGGCCAUAAGGAAAGAACUCGGGCUUUACGAGUUCGAGAAACACCAAGGAGAAGAGUGAUGUCACAAUCGAAAAGCGGGGGGGCGGUCGGUCCGUUCAACUCCGUCGCCGAGGCGGCGGGUUGCGUUCAGACGGUCGACUGGAUGCUUCUUGUUCUUCUGUUCUUCGCCGUUCUUGGCGGCUACCACGUCCACUUCAUGCUGACGGCGGGCGACUGGGACUUCUGGGUUGACUGGAAGGAUCGUCGUAUGUGGCCGACGGUUGUGCCGAUUCUCGGCGUGACCUUCUGCGCCGCGGCGCAGGCGUUCUGGUGGGUGAACUUCCGUCUGCCGUUCGGCGCGGUGUUCGCGGCUCUUGGCCUGCUGAUUGGCGAGUGGAUCAACCGCUACGUCAACUUCUGGGGCUGGACCUACUUCCCGAUCAGCCUUGUGUUCCCGUCCGCUCUGAUCGUUCCGGCGAUCUGGCUUGACGUGAUCCUGCUUCUGUCGGGCUCCUAUGUGAUCACGGCGAUUGUUGGUUCGCUGGGCUGGGGUCUGUUGUUCUACCCGAACAACUGGCCGGCGAUUGCGGCGUUCCACCAGGCGACGGAGCAGCAUGGUCAGCUGAUGACGCUUGCGGAUCUGAUCGGCUUCCACUUCGUCCGCACGUCGAUGCCGGAAUAUAUCCGCAUGGUCGAGCGCGGCACGCUGCGCACCUUCGGUAAGGACGUUGUGCCGGUCGCGGCGUUCUUCUCGGGCUUCGUCUCGAUGAUGGUGUAUUUCCUGUGGUGGUUCAUGGGCCGUUGGUAUUCGACGACCAAGAUCAUCGACACGAUCUAAGCCGCGUCGCGGGCUGCGGCGCUGAACGGGCGCCGCGGCGGCCUGCAAGAAAGAAGAGCGGCGGGCUGGACGCUUAUUCAAGAGCGAAGGUCCGCUGCGAGAGACAAGACCGGUUGGCGCGCGAGGCGGCGGCCGGGAAGAGGAACCUGGGAGGUUUAUCGAUGAAAAAGUUCGUCAAGCUCGCCGCGAUUGGCGCGGCGGCGGCUGUGGCGGCGACCCUGGGAGCUGUUGCUCCUGCGUCGGCGCACGGCGAAAAGUCUCAGCAGGCGUUUCUUCGGAUGCGCACGUUGAACUGGUAUGACGUUCAGUGGUCGAAGACGACGGUGAACGUCAAUGAAGAGAUGGUGCUGUCGGGCAAGAUCCAUGUGUUCUCGGCCUGGCCGCAAGCGGUCGCCAAUCCGCGCGUGUCGUUCCUGAACGCCGGCGAGCCCGGUCCGGUUCUGGUGCGCACGGCGCAGUUCAUCGGCGAGCAGUUUGCGCCGCGUUCGGUGUCGCUUGUUCCUGGCAACGACUACGCCUUCUCCAUCAACCUUCGCGGACGUCGCGCGGGCCGUUGGCACGUUCAUGCGCAGAUCAACGUCGAGGGCGGCGGUCCGAUCAUCGGCCCCGGCCAGUGGAUCGAGAUCAAGGGCGACAUGAAGGACUUCACCGAUCCGGUGACGUUGCUUGACGGCUCGACGGUCGACCUCGAGACCUACGGCAUCAGCCGCGUUUAUGCGUGGCAUCUGCCGUGGCUUGCGGUCGGCGCGGCGUGGAUCCUGUUCUGGUUCGUGCGCAAGGGCAUCAUCGCUUCGUAUCUCCGUGUCGCCACCGGCAAGGUUGACGAGCAGGUGACCGACGACGACAAGCGGAUUGGCGCGAUUGUGCUGGCGUUGACCAUUCUGGCGACGAUCGUCGGCUACGCCGUGACCAACUCGACCUUCCCGCGCACGAUCCCGCUGCAGGCGGGCUUGCAGAAGCCUCUGACGCCGCUCGUUACGGACGGCACGGCGGGCGUCGGCAAGGAGCGCGUGACGAGCGAGCUGAACGGCGGCGUCUACAAGGUUCCUGGCCGUGAGCUGACGAUCAACGUCAAGGUCACGAACUCGACCUCCGAGCCGCUUCGCCUUGGCGAAUAUACGGCGGCCGGCCUGCGCUUCCUGAACCCUGACGUGUUCACGACGAAGCCCGACUUCCCGGACUAUCUGUUGGCGGACCGCGGUCUGUCGACGGACCCGACGCCGAUCGCGCCGGGCGAGACGAAGGAAAUCGCCGUGAAGGUGCAGGACGCGCGUUGGGACAUCGAGCGUCUGUCUGACCUGGCUUACGACACCGACAGCCAGAUCGGCGGCCUCUUGAUGUUCUUCUCGCCGACGGGUCGCCGCUUUGCGGCCGAAAUCGGCGGACCGGUCAUUCCGAAGUUCGUCGCCGGCGACAUGCCCUAAGCGAUACUGACGAAUUGAAACAACAGCCCCCGGCCCAAAAGGCCGGGGGUUUUCGUUUGCGGCCGACCCGCCCCGAUCGUCGAGCGGCGUUCGCCGCGCCCAGAAAAAUCCCGCGCAGGGCGU